rnacentral:misc_RNA from 1 species
GGGAUCUUUGUUUGGUCUCUUCUUUUUGUUCUCUCUUCUGCUCAGAUGACUACAAACACAAUCACCUUGGGUUCCAGCAUAACUGCUGGGACUAAUUCUUCAUGGCUAUCACCCUUUGGUGAUUUUGCUUUCGGCUUCUACCCUCUGCUUAGUGGUCUUUUUCUUGUUGGUAUUUGGUUUGAUAAAAUCCCAGAAAGAACGCUAGCUUGGUCAGCCAACCGUGACGAUCCAGCUAAAAUUGGAUCAACCAUUCAUCUGAGGCCUAAUGGCCAACUUGUCCUCACACACUCAAAUGGAACCGAAUACUUAGUAUACAAUG